rnacentral:lncRNA from 1 species
GUGGGCAUGGUUGAGGCAGGUUGCAGCAGUGAGGUCGGAGGAGGAGGAGAUGGUUUGCAGCGGUGAGGAAGGGGAUGGAGGAUUCUGCGAGGUGGGUUGUAGCGGCGAGGAAGGGGAUAGAGGAUUCUAUGAGGUGGGUUGCAGUGGUGAGGCCAGCAGGGCCAGCACAAUUAUGCUGGCACCAGGCUGGGUACUCAUGGACACGAUGGAGGCCUGGAGGGGAGGAGGAAGAGAACAUGUGAGGGGAGGAGAUGGUUUGGGAGGAGGACUAGGAAAGCGGGAUGAUACCUUGGGUUUGGGUCGGGUCUUGGGCUUAGGCUCGGGCUCGGACUCAGAUUCGGAUCGACUAGAUUGAACUCGGAUCGGACCGGAUUGGAUUCGGACCAGGCUCGGUAAGGGUGCAAAUGGGUCAGGUA